ACGGAAGGCAGCAGUGGGGAAUAUUGCACAAUGGGGGAAACCCUGAUGCAGCAACGCCGCGUGAGUGAAGAAGUAUUUCGGUAUGUAAAGCUCUAUCAGCAGGAAAGAAAAUGACGGUACCUGACUAAGAAGCCCCGGCUAACUACGUGCCAGCAGCCGCGGUAAUACGUCGGGGGCAAGCGUUAUCCGGAUUUACUGGGUGUAAAGGGAGCGUAGACGGCUUUGCAAGUCUGAAGUGAAAGCCCGGGGCUCAACCCCGGAACUGCUUUGGAAACUGUAGAGCUAGAGUGCAGGAGAGGUAAGUGGAAUUCCUAGUGUAGCGGUGAAAUGCGUAGAUAUUAGGAGGAACACCAGUGGCGAAGGCGGCUUACUGGACUGUAACUGACGUUGAGGCUCGAAGGCGUGGGGAGCAAACAGGAUUAGAUACCCUGGUA
rnacentral:rRNA from 1 species